UACGGGGGGGGCAAGCGUUGUUCGGAAUUACUGGGCGUAAAGGGCUCGUAGGCGGCCAACUAAGUCAGACGUGAAAUCCCUCGGCUUAACCGGGGAACUGCGUCUGAUACUGGAUGGCUUGAGUUUGGGAGAGGGAUGCGGAAUUCCAGGUGUAGCGGUGAAAUGCGCAGAUAUCGGGAGGAACACCCGUAGCGAAGGCGGCACUCUGGGCCGGUACUGACGCUGAGGAGCGAAAGCGUGGGGAGCAAACAGG
rnacentral:rRNA from 1 species